rnacentral:lncRNA from 1 species
UAUAUGAGAAGCACAUGUUCAAAACACUCCAGCUAACGGCCUACUGGACACUUUUCUCAAGAUCUGGAGCCUGGAGAAAGCAUACCCACUGUCUCCACUGCUGUUCAAUGUUUGGCUGGAUGUCACAGCAGAUGUAAAGACUCCUCAAGUCCCUUUCACCAGUAUCCCUAUCUUCACCAGCCAGCCCAUCACUGCCUCUGCAAUCACUUCCACCAUCCCAGUCUGCCCAUCUUCAGAUUGGACCUCCUGGGGUGCUGUGGACUUUGCUACAACUGAUAUCAACACCGCCCUGCCUUCCCGGGCUUCCAUCUUCAGGUCUCCACCAGGAUCCCACGUGAGCUCCCUCCCAUUUGACCAAGCACCCGCAACGUGCAGCAGAUAUCCCCCGCAAAGGUCGCAGUUGUCACCAGCCCACCUGCUUUUAUGGUCAGCAGCUGUACCUGAACUUUCAACCUUCCCUUUGGGGCAGGAACCACCCUUCAGCUGAAAUUCAGGAGCCUAUGUUGGCAGCGAUAGGGAGACACUCUCCCCCAUGCCACUGUCAUUUCUGGCCCAGCGACCACUGAUUCUGCAGUCACCUCACUCCAAUAACCAGCCCCUCUUCAGACUCGGCAUCCAAGCCUGCCUUUGACUCCAGUGAAAUCUAGGUGGGUACCAUGUUCAAUUCCUAGUCUGUUAUCUUCCUGCCUCCUCUUGACAGCUUUGACAACUCUUUCCCUUUGGGAAACCUGGCAGCCCAAGCAAAAUCUCCACACUUAACCUAUCCUGCAGCCAUGGAACCCAAUAGGAGCACAACUCAGUCACCUUUUGGGAGUUUGACAUUCCCAUCUUCCAACUUUGGCAUCACUGUCAGCACCCAGGCAGCCUUUGGUGGCACUUCAGCUGUUUCCCUAUUGGCUCAUCCACCAGCAGGCAUAGCACUGAGGACUCCUGCUCAUCUUUUGCCAACACCACACCAGACCCAUUUGGAUUUAUGAGAUUUUCAGCCCUUACGGGUAGUGGCAGCUUUGAGGUCAUUGUGUAUGUCUGAGGCCCCAGCACCAUGUCUUGAACACUCAGCUUUGGAGCAAGGACAAGUGGGACACCCAGAACCAUGGCUCAUGUUGGGGGAGACUCAGACCUGAGCACCAGGGUCCUGUCAACCUUUUGUAUCCCUGUUAAAAUCGGAGAGCCAGCAUUACUGAGAGCAAAUCUGU